CUCACUCUCUCAACUCCCUCUCCCUUACGCUCGGCGAACAACACGAACGGCUUCAGAGUUUGUUGAAACCUCUCUCCCUGUGACCCCGCCACCUGACGCGCCGGAGAUCGCCGCAGGAGGAGCUUGGAAGUCGCACCGCAGUUGUGGGUUUCGAAGCUUUUUCGAACCUCCACCGUCGUCCAAACUAGAUUCCAAGGGAAUGGUUGUGCUCCGGACACCGAGAGGAUGAAAAGCCACCAAAGAAUCUGGGUAAUUAUGAAAGCUCUUAAAUCUGAAGACGUCAAAUCGCAAGCUCGGGUUGGAACUUGUUGGUGAAAGCCUCAUCUUUUUUCUUUGUUUUGUUUGCAAAAAGGGUCUUGAGUAUAAAGCUUAGCAACAAAGCAAAGUAGUGUUCAAUUACUUGGUGCAAUGGCCUAUUGUGCUCCUGAGCAAUUGUCCCAGUGUCUCCAUAAGAUUGUACCAAAACUGACAGAGGUCUCUCUUUGUGUUUAUGAAUUUUUUAAUUUAUUAUGUAAAAUAUUUCAUGCUCA